rnacentral:tRNA from 1 species
GGGUGUGAUUUUAUGUUGUGCUCUGCAAAGGCGCGGGAGAUCUUUGUUGGUCCACACUCU